GUGCAUCAUCCUUAAAGAAAAGGGGGACAGUGAAACAUCAUGUCCCUCAAUGCCUGUUUUGUUUCCAAAAAUCUAGCCAGGUUAAGGGAACAGUGAGAGCAAGCCUGGGUCAGAAUGUUCAGAUACAUAUUGUCUUGAAGGACACAGGCUUUCUCUUAUGCAUGCUGGGAACCUGGGCAAGCACUUUCUUUGGCCUUUUAACAACCUAUCCCACUGCCCUGGCACAACUGGGCUAUGAACAUGACAGUCAAGUAUCUGGACAGUGCCAGGGAUCAGAGAUAUGUAAAAGUCAGCCAGAACAAUCAGCAAGACAAGUCACUGUCUCUUCCUCAGAGAUUCACUUCCUGUACGGUGAAGUAAGUGCCUACUGAGCCAAUCUUCUAAUGGAUAACAACUAUAAACUUUUAACAAUAUGAAAAACUACUUGAAGAUACUGAAGAUGGAACAAAAAAUCAGGCAAAUUCUGGAGAGAGGCUGAAAUAUGGAAAGAAAGAAUGGCACAAGGUGAGUGUCCCAUUUUUAUACUUUUAGGUCUGAGAGAAAACUGCAUUCUUUCUAUGGUGUCUUCCAUUGAAACAGAGCAAGUACAGCUGCUGCAAAAUGUUGAGAGGAAACCUCAGAAGAAAGGGAACCAAAGAGAAAGAAGGAGUGCCCUAAACUCUGUGCAUAUAUUCCACUCAAAUCUCUGGUGGACUUCUGAGUUAUGUGUAGGACAGAUUCCAGUUACAGAUAAAAGAACUGAAUUGAUAUUUGAAUUGCUGCUCAAGACACAGUUUACAAGUUGAGUCCAAAAAAGUUAAUGCCUGCUAACAUAAAAAAGAAAAUCAGCAUUCUUCAGAAGAAUAUAACAGAAUCCAUAGUACCAACAUUUACAAUUUUCAGGGCUCAAUUUAAAAUUACUCAACAUAUGAAGGACACAAAGAAAACAACAGUCAAAAACAGAUCCAUUCUAUAGAGAAUAAAUAAACAAUGGAACUAAUUCUGAGAUUAUUCAGAUGUUGACUAUAUCAGAAAAAGAUUUUAAAGUAAUUAUCACUAUGUUCAAUAAAGGAAAGCAAGCUUGCAGUGAAUUAAAAGAGGAAAUCUCAGCAAAGAAAUAGAAUUAAAUGGAAAUUCUUUCUAGCCAAGUAUAGUGGCUCAUGUGUAUAAAACUAGCUAUGUGGGAUACUGAGGCAGGAGGACCACAAUUUCAAGGCCAGCCUGAGAAAUAAAUAAGACUUUCGGUUGGGGAAUGAGGAAAUAAAUUCUACUGAAAGAUAUCUAAAACCAGUCUUUACCUCCAUGUGAGACCUACUCUUUCAUGUAUUUCCUUCAUAUUUCUGUUCUUUACCUGAGGAACUAGAUCAA